AGAGUUUGAUCAUGGCUCAGAUUGAACGCUGGCGGCAGGCCUAACACAUGCAAGUCGAGCGGUAGCACAGAGAGCUUGCUCUCGGGUGACGAGCGGCGGACGGGUGAGUAAUGUCUGGGAAACUGCCUGAUGGAGGGGGAUAACUACUGGAAACGGUAGCUAAUACCGCAUAAUGUCGCAAGACCAAAGUGGGGGACCUUCGGGCCUCAUGCCAUCAGAUGUGCCCAGAUGGGAUUAGCUAGUAGGUGGGGUAACGGCUCACCUAGGCGACGAUCCCUAGCUGGUCUGAGAGGAUGACCAGCCACACUGGAACUGAGACACGGUCCAGACUCCUACGGGAGGCAGCAGUGGGGAAUAUUGCACAAUGGGCGCAAGCCUGAUGCAGCCAUGCCGCGUGUGUGAAGAAGGCCUUCGGGUUGUAAAGCACUUUCAGCGGGGAGGAAGGCGUUAAGGUUAAUAACCUUGGCGAUUGACGUUACCCGCAGAAGAAGCACCGGCUAACUCCGUGCCAGCAGCCGCGGUAAUACGGAGGGUGCAAGCGUUAAUCGGAAUUACUGGGCGUAAAGCGCACGCAGGCGGUCUGUCAAGUCGGAUGUGAAAUCCCCGGGCUCAACCUGGGAACUGCAUUCGAAACUGGCAGGCUAGAGUCUUGUAGAGGGGGGUAGAAUUCCAGGUGUAGCGGUGAAAUGCGUAGAGAUCUGGAGGAAUACCGGUGGCGAAGGCGGCCCCCUGGACAAAGACUGACGCUCAGGUGCGAAAGCGUGGGGAGCAAACAGGAUUAGAUACCCUGGUAGUCCACGCNGGCUCACCUAGGCGACGAUCCCUAGCUGGUCUGAGAGGAUGACCAGCCACACUGGAACUGAGACACGGUCCAGACUCCUACGGGAGGCAGCAGUGGGGAAUAUUGCACAAUGGGCGCAAGCCUGAUGCAGCCAUGCCGCGUGUGUGAAGAAGGCCUUCGGGUUGUAAAGCACUUUCAGCGGGGAGGAAGGCGUUAAGGUUAAUAACCUUGGCGAUUGACGUUACCCGCAGAAGAAGCACCGGCUAACUCCGUGCCAGCAGCCGCGGUAAUACGGAGGGUGCAAGCGUUAAUCGGAAUUACUGGGCGUAAAGCGCACGCAGGCGGUCUGUCAAGUCGGAUGUGAAAUCCCCGGGCUCAACCUGGGAACUGCAUUCGAAACUGGCAGGCUAGAGUCUUGUAGAGGGGGGUAGAAUUCCAGGUGUAGCGGUGAAAUGCGUAGAGAUCUGGAGGAAUACCGGUGGCGAAGGCGGCCCCCUGGACAAAGACUGACGCUCAGGUGCGAAAGCGUGGGGAGCAAACAGGAUUAGAUACCCUGGUAGUCCACGCCGUAAACGAUGUCGAUUUGGAGGUUGUGCCCUUGAGGCGUGGCUUCCGGAGCUAACGCGUUAAAUCGACCGCCUGGGGAGUACGGCCGCAAGGUUAAAACUCAAAUGAAUUGACGGGGGCCCGCACAAGCGGUGGAGCAUGUGGUUUAAUUCGAUGCAACGCGAAGAACCUUACCUGGUCUUGACAUCCACAGAACUUUCCAGAGAUGGAUUGGUGCCUUCGGGAACUGUGAGACAGGUGCUGCAUGGCUGUCGUCAGCUCGUGUUGUGAAAUGUUGGGUUAAGUCCCGCAACGAGCGCAACCCUUAUCCUUUGUUGCCAGCGGUUAGGCCGGGAACUCAAAGGAGACUGCCAGUGAUAAACUGGAGGAAGGUGGGGAUGACGUCAAGUCAUCAUGGCCCUUACGACCAGGGCUACACACGUGCUACAAUGGCAUAUACAAAGAGAAGCGACCUCGCGAGAGCAAGCGGACCUCAUAAAGUAUGUCGUAGUCCGGAUUGGAGUCUGCAACUCGACUCCAUGAAGUCGGAAUCGCUAGUAAUCGUAGAUCAGAAUGCUACGGUGAAUACGUUCCCGGGCCUUGUACACACCGCCCGUCACACCAUGGGAGUGGGUUGCAAAAGAAGUAGGUAGCUUAACCUUCGGGAGGGCGCUUACCACUUUGUGAUUCAUGACUGGGGUGAAGUCGUAACAAGGUAACCGUAGGGGAACCUGCGGUUGGAUCACCU
rnacentral:rRNA from 1 species